UACAGAGGGUGCGAGCGUUGUCCGGAAUCACUGGGCGUAAAGGGCGCGUAGGUGGCGCGACAAGUCAGUGGUGAAAGUUCGACGCUCAACGUCGAAUCGGCCACUGAUACUGUUGGGCUUGAGCACUGUAGAGGCUAAUGGAAUUCCGGGUGUAGCGGUGGAAUGCGUAGAGAUCCGGAAGAACACCGGUGGCGAAGGCGGUUAGCUGGGCAGUUGCUGGA
rnacentral:rRNA from 1 species